GACGAACGCUGGCGGCGUGCUUAACACAUGCAAGUCGAGCGGUAAGGCCCUUUCGGGGGUACACGAGCGGCGAACGGGUGAGUAACACGUGGGUGACCUGCCCUCAGCUCUGGGAUAAGCCUGGGAAACUGGGUCUAAUACCGGAUAUGACUCCACGGCGCAUGUUGUGGGGUGGAAAGCCUUGUGUGGCUAGAGAUGGGCCCGCGGCCUAUCAGCUUGUUGGUGGGGUGAUGGCCUACCAAGGCGACGACGGGUAGCCGGCCUGAGAGGCGACCGGCCACACUGGGACUGAGACACGGCCCAGACUCCUACGGGAGGCAGGCAGUGGGGAAUCUUGCGCAAUGGGCGAAAGCCUGACGCAGCGACGCCGCGUGAGGGAUGACGGCC
rnacentral:rRNA from 1 species